rnacentral:rRNA from 1 species
AGUGAACGCUGGCGGUAGGCCUAACACAUGCAAGUCGAACGGCAGCACAGUAAGAGCUUGCUCUUACGGGUGGCGAGUGGCGGACGGGUGAGGAAUACAUCGGAAUCUACUUUUUCGUGGGGGAUAGCGUAGGGAAACUUACGCUAAUACCGCAUACGACCUACGGGUGAAAGCAGGGGAUCUUCGGACCUUGCGCGAUUGAAUGAGCCGACGUCGGAUUAGCUAGUUGGCGGGGUAAAGGCCCACCAAGGCGACGAUCCGUAGCUGGUCUGAGAGGAUGAUCAGCCACACUGGAACUGAGACACGGUCCCGACUCCUACGGGAGGCAGCAGUGGGGAAUAUUGGACAAAGGGCGCAAGCCUGAUCCCGCCAUACCGCGUGGGUGAAGGAGGCCUUCGGGUUGUAAAGCCCUUUUGUUGGGAAAGAAAAGCAGCAGGUUAAUACCCCGCUGUUCUGACGGUACCCAAAGAAUAAGCACCGGCUAACUUCGUG